GACGAACGCUGGCGGCGUGCCUAAUACAUGCAGGUCGAGCGCUGAAGGCUGGUACUUGUACCCACUGGAUGAGCAGCGAACGGGUGAGUAACGCGUGGGGAAUCUGCCUUUGAGCGGGGGACAACAUUUGGAAACGAAUGCUAAUACCGCAUAAAAACUUUAAACACAAGUUUUAAGUUUGAAAGAUGCAAUUGCAUCACUCAAAGAUGAUCCCGCGUUGUAUUAGCUAGUUGGUGAGGUAAAGGCUCACCAAGGCGAUGAUACAUAGCCGACCUGAGAGGGGGAGAGGCCAAGUUGGGAUGGAGACACGGCCCAAACUCCUACGGGAGGCAGCAGGAGGGAAUCUUCAGGAAUGGAAGAAAGUCUGACCGAGCAACGCCGCGUGAGUGAAGAAGGUUUUCGGGUCGUAAAACUCUGUUGGUAGGGAGGAACGUUGGGGAGAGUGAAAAGCUCAGCAAGUGACGGUAACUAGACAGAAAGCGACGGCUAACUACGUG
rnacentral:rRNA from 1 species